AGUCCAGGUGGUCGCCUUCGCCACUGAGUGUUCCUUCCUAUAUCUACGCAUUUCACCGCUACACAGGAAAUUCCACCACCCUCUACCAUACUCUAGCUUGUCAGUUUUGAAUGCAGUUCCCAGGUUGAGCCCGGGGCUUUCACAUCCAACUUAACAAACCACCUACGCGCGCUUUACGCCCAGUAAUUCCGAUUAACGCUUGCACCCUCUGUAUUACCGCGGCUGCUGGCACAGAGUUAGCCGGUGCUUAUUCUGUCGGUAACGUCAAAACCAUCACGUAUUAGGUAAUGGCCCUUCCUCCCAACUUAAAGUGCUUUACAAUCCGAAGACCUUCUUCACACACGCGGCAUGGCUGGAUCAGGCUUUCGCCCAUUGUCCAAUAUUCCCCACUGCUGCCUCCCGUAGGAGUCUGGACCGUGUCUCAGUUCCAGUGUGACUGAUCAUCCUCUCAGACCAGUUACGGAUCGUCGCCUUGGUGAGCCAUUACCUCACCAACUAGCUAAUCCGACCUAGGCUCAUCUGAUAGCGCAAGGCCCGAAGGUCCCCUGCUUUCUCCCGUAGGACGUAUGCGGUAUUAGCGUUCGUUUCCGAACGUUAUCCCCCACUACCAGGCAGAUUCCUAGGCAUUACUCACCCGUCCGCCGCUCUCAAGAGAAGCAAGCUUCUCUCUACCGCUCGACUUGCAUGUGUUAGGCCUGC
rnacentral:rRNA from 1 species